AUCAAAUCCGUCGCUGGUUAAGCCGGAAGGAGCUGGCUUUGGACCCGAGGUCACACACUCAGAGCCCACGGUUUUUGUGUCUUUGUGUCUAACAGGAUGUGCCAGUAAAGAGUAUUGACACCGAAAAGCAACGCAGAGGGACACUCAUGAACCCCGGCUAUCUCAGUGAAAGCACACCCUCCACCACCACCACCAUCACUACCAUCCACACCCUCCAUCACUCCCCCUCCUCGCUCCAUUCUUCCAGUGGGACGGGUUGUUGACAUCCAUUAGGAGGUUUCCCAGCAUUGAGCCAGGCCAGGAAAGAGGGCUAAUGAUGUAAUUCCCUGAGAGAUGACAUUAAAAUGUCAAAAGUGCCGCAGCUGACAUCAUCCAUUUAGCACACAUUUUCCAAUAAUAUACAUUUGUCUUCCGUUUUUUCCUUCCCUCAGCUUUCCUUCCUAGAAACUGGAGCUCCCCACCCAUCCCACUGCCUCCAGGCUCUACUUAGGUGUGCAGCCACACGAUGGAGGACAGACUGGAAAAAGGAGGGGGGGGGGGGGUAUCAUCAAACCGUGUCUUCCCCCGCAGCUAUAAAUGCCCUGCUCCAGAAAACAAUGUUUUGAGCAGGCUAUGUGUGUCGCGUUACAUUUAUCCCUCCCUUUUUUUAAAGCUCCAGCUGAUGCUAAUUCAUCUUGUCUGGUACAACAAAGACCCUCAUGCCCUGUAAUACUCAUUCCUCCACCUCUUUUGCAAUUCCUACUACAUGUGGGAAUGGCCUCUGGGUGAUUUUAGGCCAGCUAUUUGUAGUUGUAGGGUGAUCCCAUCUGAUUUUAACUGUGUUAAGAUGUGUGAGAGAAUGAAGAGAACACCUUGUACAAAUUGCAUUUUCUACCUGCCUGCACGCCACAGCCUUUCGCACCGGUCAACAAACGUGCCGUUUCUCAGAGAAAAUGUAGAAUCUGAAUUAUAUUUCUACGAGGGAGACCUGACAGCUCUCUAUUCUUCAGCCCAGUGAGUGGGCAGGCUUAGACUUCAAUAAUGGAUGCUUGAAGGCAGAGUAAGUAGACGUGAACUGGAAGCAGAGAAGGGGGGCUGCGCCUCACUCAAUAAUGAAUCAAUUGAUCCCCCUGCAGAUGAUGGAUCGGGUUGCUAUGACGACAGAUGCACUGUUACCCGGAGCGCGGAGAAGUGGUUUGUUUCCCAGAACCGUGCACUCAAGCACUGUGAGUGGAUGAUCUUGGCAUUAAAUGGUGGUGGUGGCGAGGAGGCAGGAUGUGACUAAUAAAGGAGGUGAAAACAGAAAAUAUUAAGAUGUGGAUUAAUGCAGCCAGAUGGAUAUUCUCCAAUGAGGAAUUACUGUGCAGAAUCAUCAAUCCAUCACAUUGUGGUGUACAAAUCCGAAUCUAUUUUUUGAACACAGAAGUAAAGAUGCCGCAGGUGCAUGAGAUUAUAUUGGCAAUCGCUCCCUCGCUGAUUAAUCGGGGCGUUCCUCCUUUGAUGGAUGUCUUAGCACCGAGUCAGAGCUGAAUACACAUGUGGGUUUUAUUGUGCAUAUACUGUAUUGCUGGCUUUAAAAAAAAAAAAAAAGAAACCAACAUGUUUACUGUGUCUGCGUGUGUGCGUUCUGUUGCCGUGGCAACGCGGCUGAUGCUGGGGUCCAGCUGGGACCACGUUGCCAAGUAACAGCUGAGUUAUGAGAGAGGAGGAGAGGAGC